rnacentral:other from 1 species
ACCUCCUGAGCCGGAACGAGAAGCUUUUUUUGGAAUGUGUGUUCUGAAAGGCUUUUGGCUUACGGUUGUGAUGUUGUGUUGUUGUGUUUGCAAUUUGGUCUGCUAUUCAGACCCCGGUAGCGACGCUACCCCUUUUUCACUUCCUGUACAUUUACCCUGUCUGUCCAUAGUGAUUAAUGUAGCACCGCAAGAUUGCGGUGCUUUUUUUU